AUCCAGCUGAUGAGUUUGAAAUAGGAGAAAACAUGCGUCCUGGAU
rfam:Schistosoma haematobium scaffold195_15, whole genome shotgun sequence.